rnacentral:rRNA from 1 species
UACGUAGGGGGCAAGCGUUGUCCGGAAUCAUUGGGCGUAAAGAGCGUGUAGGCGGCUCGAUAAGUCUGCUGUGAAAGUCCAGGGCUCAACCCUGGAAGGCCGGUGGAAACUGUCGGGCUAGAGUCCGGAAGAGGCGAGUGGAAUUCCUGGUGUAGCGGUGGAAUGCGCAGAUAUCAGGAGGAACACCAAUAGCGAAGGCAGCUCGCUGGGACGUUACUGACACUGAGGCGCGAAAGCGUGGGGAGCGAACAGG